rfam:Gossypium arboreum cultivar AKA8401 contig_5186_5, whole genome shotgun sequence.
AAUUAAAAUUUUAAUCUACUUCUAAUGUUAAAAACUGACAUGGCUAACAGAAUAACUAAAUAGUUACACAUGGCGUGCUAUAUACACCUCAUUUCGACAUGCAUGAACCAAUUUUUAACAAUAAAAAUUAAUAAAAUUUUUAAUA